rnacentral:ncRNA from 1 species
CUUAUCAAGAGAGGUGGAGGGACUGGCCCAAUGAAACCCAGCAACCAAUAUGGUUCAUAUACUAUAUGUGGUGCUAAAUCCUGCAGUAUUAAACUGAUAGAUAAGG